UACAGAGGGUGCGAGCGUUGAUCGGAGUUACUGGGCGUAAAGGGCGCGUAGGCGGUUAUAUGAGUGUGGUGUGAAAGCCCCGGGCUUAACCUGGGAAGUGCAUCACAAACGAUAUAACUGGAGUAGAUGAGAGGGUGGUGGAAUUUCCGGUGUAGCGGUGAAAUGCGUAGAGAUCGGAAGGAACGUCAAUGGCGAAGGCAGCCACCUGGCAUCAUACUGACGCUGAGGCGCGAAAGCGUGGGGAGCGAACAGG
rnacentral:rRNA from 1 species